GACGAACGCUGGCGGCGUGCUUAAUACAUGCAAGUUGAGCGCUUGAAGGUUGGUACUUGUACCGGCUGGAUGAGCAGCGAACGGGUGAGUAACGCGUGGGGAAUCUGCCUUUGAGCGGGGGACAACAUUUGGAAACGAAUGCUAAUACCGCAUAAAAACUUUAAACACAAGUUUUAAGUUUGAAAGAUGCAAUUGCAUCACUCAAAGAUGAUCCCGCGUUGUAUUAGCUAGUUGGUGAGGUAAAGGCUCACCAAGGCGAUGAUACAUAGCCGACCUGAGAGGGUGAUCGGCCACAUUGGGACUGAGACACGGCCCAAACUCCUACGGGAGGCAGCAGUAGGGAAUCUUCGGCAAUGGACGAAAGUCUGACCGAGCAACGCCGCGUGAGUGAAGAAGGUUUUCGGAUCGUAAAACUCUGUUGGUAGAGAAGAACGUUGGUGAGAGUGGAAAGCUCAUCAAGUGACGGUAACUACCCAGAAAGGACGGCUAU
rnacentral:rRNA from 1 species